rnacentral:rRNA from 1 species
GAUCCAUAAUGAAAUUAACCUGAUGAGUUGCUGCUGGCUCUCUAGGGAGCAUGUGCACACUUGUCAUCUUUAUAUCUCCACCUGUGCACCUUUUGUAGACCUGGAUAUCUCUCUGAGUGCUUAGCACUUCAGGUUUGAGGUUUGACUUUAUUGUUCUCUCCUUAUAUUUCCAGGCCUAUGUUUCUUCAUAUACCCCCAUUGUAUGUUAUAGAAUGUAACAAAUAGGCCUUUGUGCCUAUAAACCUAUACAACUUUCAGCAACGGAUCUCUUGGCUCUCGCAUCGAUGAAGAACGCAGCGAAAUGCGAUAAGUAAUGUGAAUUGCAGAAUUCAGUGAAUCAUCGAAUCUUUGAACGCACCUUGCGCUCCUUGGUAUUCCGAGGAGCAUGCCUGUUUGAGUGUCAUUAAUAUAUCAACCUCUACAAUUUUUUUGUUGUUGAGUGUUGGAUGUGGGGGUUUUCUUUUGCUGGUCUCUCUAAGUUCAGCUCCCCUGAAAUACAUUAGCGGAACAAUCUUGUGGAUUCGUUCAUUGGCGUGAUAAUUAUCUAUGCUAUUGACGUGAAGCAGUUCAGCUUAUAACAGUCCAUUGACUUGGACAAAUUUUUAUUAAUGUGACCUCAAAUCAGGUAGGACU